rnacentral:rRNA from 1 species
AUUGAACGCUGGCGGCAUGCUUUACACAUGCAAGUCGAACGGUAACAGGGUGCUUGCACCGCUGACGAGUGGCGAACGGGUGAGUAAUGCGUCGGAACGUGCCGAGUAGUGGGGGAUAACGCAUCGAAAGGUGUGCUAAUACCGCAUACGUACUGAGGUAGAAAGUGGGGGACCUUCGGGCCUCACGCUAUUCGAGCGGCCGACGUCUGAUUAGCUAGUUGGUGAGGUAAAGGCUCACCAAGGCGACGAUCAGUAGCGGGUCUGAGAGGAUGAUCCGCAACACUGGGACUGAGACACGGCCCAGACUCCUACGGGAGGCAGCAGUGGGGAAUUUUGGGCAAUGGGCGCAAGCCUGAUCCAGCCAUGCCGCGUGUCUGAAGAAGGCCUUCGGGUUGUAAAGGACUUUUGUCCGGGAGCAAAUGCCUGGUGUUAAUAGCACUGGGAGCUGAGAGUACCGGAAGAAUAAGCACCGGCUAACUACGUGCCAGCCGCCGCAGUAAGAC